AUGCGUACCGGUGAUCACGUAUUUGCUAUGGUCAAUGAUUUACACGUAAUCUUUGGAAAGGGUCCUGGCGGACUAGCUGUUCCGAAUGACACUGAGGGACAUGCACCCAUGUGGAAGAAUAAAUCUAUAUUUUGGGACCUACCCUACUGGAAAGACCUAGAGGUCCGCUCUUCAAUCGACGUGAUGCACGUGACGAAGAACCUUUGCGUGAACCUGCUAGGCUUCUUGGGCGUGUAUGGGAAGACAAAAGAUACACCUGAGGCACGGGAGGACCUGCAACGUUUGUACGAAAAAGACGGCAUGCCUCCGAAGCAGUAUGAAGGUCCUGCCAGCUACGCUCUUACGAAAGAAGAGAAAGAAAUCUUCUUUGAAUGCCUGCUCAGUAUGAAGGUCCCGACUGGCACUACUACAAAAACA
rnacentral:rRNA from 1 species